CAGCCCCACGCUCCAAACCUUAUCCCCUUUGGCCCCAUUGCUCCAGAUCCACCACGCACACCGCCGCCAUAGGUGCCCUCUCCGGCCGACGGCGGUGCUACGCGUCGCCACCACUUUGGGCCCCUCUUUCUCCCACCUCUCCAUCGCUAUCCCCACAUGGCUGCUGUUUUCCCACGUCGAGGCGGGCAUGUGCCGGCGCCGCCAUCACGCAGGUGCCAACGGAGGCGCUUUUUGUUCAUACCCAAGUGCCGGUGAUGCCACCUCUCACCUCUCUCUCUCUCUCAUGGCUCCACCGCCCCAACCCAGACCAGCUAGAUCUAAGUGGGACAAACCUUCGCUCCGGGUGGUCUGGUCUGAGGUAGCCAGCCUCUGCUUCCUCUGCUCUGGGUGAUUAGAAGCACGGGAGAACAGGAGCUAGCCAUCCAUGGCAUAAACAACAUCGUAAGCUCUCUCUCCCUCUCUGUGUGUGUGUGUGUGUGUGUGUGUGCGUCUGUGUGUGUGUGUGUGUGUGCGGAUUCCUACUCCAGCCGGUGGACCAGAUUUUUUUUACUUGGUUGUAAGUUUAAUCUCUUUAAAAAAAUGUGCUGCUUUGAUUCAUGGAAGCAGAACUCCUUCAAGUAGUAAAGUUCAAACCCUAACAUUCUAUCACUAUUAUUGUUUGCAUUCUAUUUUCUAAGUUUUUUAACAGAUUGAAUUUGAAAAUUAUUCUUUGCAGGGCAAAUUAAUCUUUGUAAGUAUGGUGGAUGGUUGGGCAAAAAGGCCACCGAAAGAUGUCCAUAGACAUAUGCCUGCAUUACAUCGACUUGAUGCUACUAUUUACUCUCUCAAGAACCUCUGUAGGUAUGUAUGUGAGAUAGCAAGCAAUGUUGGAUGCCCUCACUAUUUACUUCCUAUUGGCAUAUAGGACUAUGUGCUUGUCCAGUAAACACGUCUCUAUUUUCCUAUUAAUUCUUUGGUACAAAUGGAAUACAUGUAGCACUUUGUAAAUGUUUCCUUGUGAAAUAUCAUACUGUAACAUCAUGUUCUAUUUAGUCCCCAGAAGCAAUACUUGGUUUCAACUUUGAAAGACGAAAUGAAUUCCUCUAUGGGGCGUCUGAACAGAAGGGGCAUCUUCCUCGUCCUGUCACCAAGAUAAUUUCGGUCACUUAUCUGAACAAAAAGGGUUCUGGUCUCUUAAUGAAAUUGGGGGUCCAUUGAGGGCUUCAGUGACAACACCGGCGUGUUGUUGGGGAUGUAGUGUUGUGGUGCUUGCUGCUUGUGUGGUUGUGGUGUGCUAGCUGCUGUUAUGCUGUGCGUGCUUGCUGUGGUGUGCAGUGUGCUGCUAGCCACGGUUGUGCUGUUUGAUGUGCUAGUGCUACUGUCGUAUUGCUGCUGAAUGUUGAUAUUCUACUGCCUAUUGAUUGGUGAUUAAUCCAGUUUCUUCCCUGGAAAUGAAGCAUUAGACGUUAUACAUGGUAAUAUGUUGUCCCAUGAAGGCUGAAACUCUGUUACGAAUUGUAAUUCUGUUAAACCUCAUAGGCAAUGAACUGUGCAUUCUCUCAGACAAACUGUAGAUGAAGAGAAUAACAGAAAUAUUUUGUAUGCCAUCAACAGGUAAGAAGUGGCAUCGAGCUAAACAGACAUAAUAAAAGGAGAAUAUAGACCAGCAUUGAUUGUUACUAGUCAAUGCACAGAGCUAGAUAUAGAUGUUCUUCUUCUGGCUGUUGCUUAUUAAUUGUUUGGCACUCAUCUCCCCCCAACUAACUUUCAGUGAUCUGCACUCAUGUCGGUAUGGCUCUAAUUUAUCUCUAAACAUGGUUCACUCUUACUGUUACAGGCAAAUGUUAGUAAACAAAAUAGUGUGUUCCUUUCAGAAGAGUACAGAAGAAUUUGCGUUCCUGUAAAGAAAUAAGGCGGACCAUCUAAUAAAACAUUGUUUCAGAAUAUGUGGUUUGGGAAUGAUUGUUCGGUUUUUUCUUACGAGAGCUGGAUAACAAGAUAAAAGUUCCUUACAUGAUGGAACGUUGAUGGAGAGUCAAUGGUAAGAUGGUCUGCCUAGUGUUUUCCUAUCAAAGAAGCAAUGCUAACUUUGAUUUGCUCAGUUUAACAAGGUGACCUGAUUUUUUUUAAAUAGUCUCAUAUUUGAAUGCGAUGAUACGAUGACUUCUUCUGCAUUACACCAUGUUGUAUUUAUAAAAAAUAUGCUUAGCGUGUCAUACAUACAAUCAGGUUGGACUCAUAUUUGAUAUUGAAUUUAUGUGUUCCAUCCUCAAUUUACGGGGCUGCUCCGAUUUCACUUCUCGAUAAAAACAAUAAGACUAAUAGGUAGGAACAUAUCCACCUUCGUAUGGUUCUGAAAAUUAUUACAGAAUUACUCAAGCACUCCAACAACCAAAAACUUAGCAACAAACUCUAACCAUACACUCAAGUGCUUAGACACAAGAAUCAGAAAAAACACUUAAAAUGACAUAUGAUGUGGUCAGCCGAUUGGUGUGCCUUUUAGGUAUCAUGACUAUUCUCCUUUAUUCCCAUAUUAUUGUUGUCUUGAUUUGCCCGCAACUGUUAUCUUGGCUAUCAUUUUGUCAACCACUUAUAUUAGCUAGGUUUGUUGGUCCGUAGUCUUCCAUAUAGCUAUUUCAACUAAAUCUGUAGUCUUUCAUAUAUAUAGGAAUUGUCUUCUACUAUUCAGGUCUCGCAUAUAUUCCUUGUGGUGUAUUAACUUUGUAUGAUAAAAUAAAAUGUCUGUUGAAAAUAACUAAUAUAUGAUCACUCUGGACUUUCUUCUCCGCAAAAAACAAUUUGUAGUGCAGUCGGCAACUCGGCAUCUAACUGUUGGUAUAUUAUUGUGUUGCUUCUUUUCCCCUCAACUUUUACAUUUUACCAUGCUAUUCGCUGCUACCUGUUCUUCAUCAUCUGAGUUCUUACUCCUUCCAUUUAUGUAGGAAUGUCUGAAGAGAGUUAUCCCCUAUGGGCACAUGGACAUUGCAUAAUCAGUCUUGUCAUGGGAAUAAUUUGCCUGCCUAAAGAAGGCGAAGCAAUCAGCCAAGCAAUUAAACUGGAGUCCAGUAAAGAGAAAUCUUCCAGUGACAAUCAAGAGUUGAAUCGUAGCAUUCCAAAGGAGACAAGUCAUCCAACCAUCCAGCAGAAGUGUAGACAGUUUAAAGAAACCAUCACUUGAUCCGGGCAAUAAUAGCGCAUCAGUUUCAUCUAGUUCUAUACAUAAGAAGGUAACACACUUGUAUGUUCCACUGGACAUCUAUUUUUACAUGUCUGGCUGAAUCACUANN
rnacentral:lncRNA from 1 species